UCCCUUGUGGCUCAGAUGGUAAAGCAUCUGCCUACAAUGCAGGAGACCUGGGUUCAAUCCCUGGGUCAGGAA
rnacentral:tRNA from 1 species